AACGAACGCUGGCGGCAUGCCUAACACAUGCAAGUCGAACGAGACCUUCGGGUCUAGUGGCGCACGGGUGCGUAACGCGUGGGAACCUGCCCUUAGGUUCGGAAUAACUCCCCGAAAGGGGUGCUAAUACCGGAUAAUGUUUUCGGACCAAAGAUUUAUCGCCUUUGGAUGGGCCCGCGUUGGAUUAGCUAGUUGGUAGGGUAAAAGCCUACCAAGGCGACGAUCCAUAGCUGGUCUGAGAGGAUGAUCAGCCACACUGGGACUGAGACACGGCCCAGACUCCUACGGGAGGCAGCAGUGGGGAAUAUUGGACAAUGGGCGAAAGCCUGAUCCAGCAAUGCCGCGUGAGUGAUGAAGGCCUUAGGGUUGUAAAGCUCUUUUACCCGGGAUGAUAAUGACAGUACCGGGAGAAUAAGUUCCGGCUAACUCCGUG
rnacentral:rRNA from 1 species